UCAGCUUGGCGAAGGUUAGCAGAGACAUUCUAUAUGUCGUUCGGUUGUGUGGCGUGGUUGCUGGGGCGUUUCUGACACUCCACACCUUGUAUGCAAUGCCUACCAGGAGGUCAUAGCGAGACCGGAAAUGAGCUCACAGUGCUUGCGUAACUGGUCAGCCACCAUAAAUAUGCAAUGAAACGUGCGUCUAGGCCCAAGAUUAAGGAUGAGCAGGCAAGAUACUCCAUUCUGCUCCCGUGUCGUCUAGGAAGUCCAACUCCCUGAUAGCGUUAUUGAUGAAAAAUAUGUGACUGGUGAGCUCCUGGAAGACUGCAAAUCACUGGUAGCGCUCCUUCCGC